rnacentral:ncRNA from 1 species
ACGGUUCCGUAUAGGAUUAAAAGGGAACCGGGUGAGAGUCCCGGACAGUUCCCGCUGCUGUGAGUUCCAAUGAUGUUCCGGCACUUUUGCCACUGAUGCCCUGGGAGAUAGACCGUCUGCCGGGAUUCGGGAAGGCGUCCGGAACGGAACGAGUCAGAAGACCUGCCUUGCGAC